GACGAACGCUGGCGGCGUGCUUAACACAUGCCAGUCGAACGGUGAAGCGCCUUCCUUUUUGGUGGGUGUGGAUGAGUGGCGAACGGGUGAGUAACACGUGAGUAACCUGCCCCCUUCUUCUGGAUAACCGCAUGAAAGUGUGGCUAAUACGGGAUAUUCUGGGUCUGUCGCAUGAUGGGUCUGGGAAAGAUAUUGUUUCGGUGGGGGAUGGGCUCGCGGCCUAUCAGCUUGUUGGUGGGGUGAUGGCCUACCAAGGCGGUGACGGGUAGCCGGCCUGAGAGGGUGGACGGUCACACUGGGACUGAGACACGGCCCAGACUCCUACGGGAGGCAGCAGUGGGGAAUAUUGCACAAUGGGCGCAAGCCUGAUGCAGCGACGCCGCGUGAGGGAUGGAGGCCUGCGGGUUGUGAACCUCUUUCGCCAGUGAAGCAGGCCUGCCUCGUUUGUGGGUGGGUUGACGGUAGCUGGAUAGGAAGCGCCGGCUAACUACGUG
rnacentral:rRNA from 1 species